CGCAGGAUCGAGCAAAUCAAACAGGUUCAUCCCCUUGUAUAUUUUAUGCUUGCCAAAGAAAUUGCCCACCGAAGCCAAGUGGUUGGUACUUCAACUGGUUCUACCAGUUGUGCUUUAAAAACGAGCGAUCGCACUGUGGAGUUGGCGUCAAUAAUUUCAGUACUUGUGAAGAAUGCAUUAAAAAAUGUGAACUCGAGGUGUGUGCUGAAGCAAUCACUACGGAAAACCCGAUG
rnacentral:lncRNA from 1 species